rfam:Oryza rufipogon genomic scaffold, chr12
AAAAAAAUAAACCCUAAGUUUCUGUGUCCAACGUUUGACUGUCUGUCUUAUAUGAAAUUUUUUUAUAAUUAGUAUUUUCAUUAUUAUUAGAUGAUAAAACAUGAUUAAUACUUUAUGCAUGACUUGUCUUUUUAAUUUUUUUCAUAAUUUUUUCAAAUAAGACGGUCGGUCAAACGUUGGACACGGAAACCCAUGGUUUAUCUUUUU